AACAUCGCGCACCUGCGGGAACCUGCGGAGGGAUCAUUACAGAGUUCAUGCCCUCACGGGUAGAUCUCCCACCCUUGAAUACUAUACCUUUGUUGCUUUGGCGGGCCGCUUUGGCUACUGGCUCUGGCUAGUAAGUGCCCGCCAAAGAACCCCAAAACUCUGAAUAUUAGUGUCGUCUGAGUACUAUAUAAUAGUUAAAACUUUCAACAAUGGAUCU
rnacentral:misc_RNA from 1 species